CCCUUAGAUGUUCUGGGCUGCACGCGCGCUACACUGAUGCAUCCAACAAGUUUUUUCCUUGUUCGAGAGGACUAGGUAAUCUUUUGAGAAUGCAUCGUGAUGGGGAUAGAUUAUUGCAAUUAUUAAUCUUCAACGAGGAAUUCCUAGUAAGCGCGAGUCAUCAGCUCGUGCUGAUUACGUCCCUGCCCUUUGUACACACCGCCCGUCGCACCUACCGAUUGAAUGGUCCGGUGAAAUCUUCGGACCGGGCGAUAGCCAGCAAUGACCGUUGCCUGGAAAGUUGCUUAAACCUUACCAUUUAGAGGAAGGUGAAGUCGUAACA
rnacentral:rRNA from 1 species